CCCUUAGACGUUCUGGGCCGCACGCGCGCUACACUGACCAGUGCAACAAGCAUCCGUCCUUGGCCGACAGGCCCGGGCAAUCUUUGAACGCUGGUCGUGAUGGGGAUAGACUUUUGCAAUUUUUGGUCUUCAACGAGGAAUUCCUAGUAAACGCAAGUCAUCAACUUGCAUUGAUUACGUCCCUGCCCUUUGUACACACCGCCCGUCGCACCUACCGAUUGAAUGGUCCGGUGAAGCCUCCGGAUUGGCGCGCACCCCGGUGCCGCCGAGAAGUUGGCUAAACCUUACCAUUUAGAGGAAGGAGAAGUCGUAACA
rnacentral:rRNA from 1 species